CUAUGGAAAGCCCGGUGCAAGCGGGGUACCAGUCACUUUGGCAAAUCCGGGUGGCAAUGGGAAGCCGUGAUGCGGAGUGAAAUAAAGUAACGAAGUCCGUGAGCCAUGCGUCAAGAAAAGCCGCUAUCGUUUAUACCGUACCCGUACCGUAAACCGACACAGGUGGAUGAGGAGAGAAUCCUAAGGCCGGCGGAAGAAGCAUUGUCAAGGAACUCGGCAAAAUGGCCCCGUAACUUAGGGAUAAGGGGUGCCUGGGAAACCAGGCCGCAGAGAAUAGGCUCAAGCAACUGUUUAGCAAAAACACAGGUCUAUGCGAAACCGAAAGGUGAGGUAUAUGGGCUGACGCCUGCCCGGUGCUGGAAGGUUAAGAGGAGAGGUUAGCGGUAACGCGAAGCUUUGAAUUUAAGCCCCAGUAAACGGCGGCCGUAACAAUAACGGUCCUAAGGUAGCGAAAUUCCUUGUCGGGUAAGUUCCGACCCGCACGAAAGGCGUAAUGAUUUGAGCGCUGUCUCGACAAUGCAUCCGGUGAAAUUGAAGUACCAGUGAAGAUGCUGGUUACCUGCGCCAGGACGGAAAGACCCCAUGGAGCUUUACUCCAGUCUGGUACUGGGACUCGGUAUUGCAUGUACAGGAUAGGUGGGAGGCUAGGAGAUGGUAACGCCAGUUGCCAUGGAGCCGCUGUUGGGAUACCACCCUUGCAGUAUUGGGUUUCUAACCAGCCGCCGUGACCCGGCGGUGGGACAAUGCCAGACGGGGAGUUUGACUGGGGCGGUCGCCUCCGAAAGGGUAUCGGAGGCGCCCAAAGGUUCCCUCAGAAUGGACGGAAACCAUUCGAAGAGUGCAAAGGCAGAAGGGAGCUUGACUGCGACACCGACGGGUGGAGCAGGUACGAAAGUAGGGCUUAGUGAUCCGGUGGUAUUAAGUGGGAAUGCCAUCGCUCAACGGAUAAAAGCUACCCUGGGAUAACAGGCUUAUCACUCCCAAGAGUUCACAUCGACGGAGUGGUUUGGCACCUCGAUGUCGGCUCAUCGCAUCCUGGGGCUGUAGUAGGUCCCAAGGGUUGGGCUGUUCGCCCAUUAAAGCGGUACGCGAGCUGGGUUCAGAACGUCGUGAGACAGUUCGGUCCCUAUCCGGCGUGGGCGUAGGAUAUCUGAGAGGAGCUGUCCUUAGUACGAGAGGACCGGGAUGGACGGGCCGCUGGUGCAUCGGUUAGACUGCCAAGUCUACGGCCGAGUAGCCAAGCCCGGAAGGGAUAAACGCUGAAGGCAUCUAAGCGUGAAGCCCCCCUUAAGAUGAGAUAUCCCAUUCGAAAGAAGUAAACCCCCUUGAAGACGACGAGGUAGAUAGGGCAGAGGUGGAAGCGCAGCAAUGCAUGGAGCUGACUGUUACUAAUCGGGUGAGGGCUUGACCU
rnacentral:rRNA from 1 species